AGCCAUGUGGCAGAGUGGGAAUGCGUCGGGCUCAUAGGACAGUUGUCCGCAUGGUUCCCGAGGAUCGCUGGAUCGAAACCAGCCAUGGCUA